rnacentral:lncRNA from 1 species
AUCAUUUGAACCCGAGAUGGAGCAAUGGAUGGAAUGGAUGGAUGGACAGAUGGAUGGAUGGAUUGAUGGAUGGAUGGAUUGAUGGAUGGAUGGAUAGGAUGGAUGGAUGGAUGAAUAGGACGGACGGAUGGAUGGAUGGAUGGAUGAAUAGGACGGAUGGAUGGAUGGAUGGAUGGAUAGAUGGAUGGUGGAUGGAUGAAUAG